CUUUCUUUGCUGGCGACCGGCGCACGGGUGAGUAACACGUAUCCAACCUGCCCUUUACUCGGGGAUAGCCUUUCGAAAGAAAGAUUAAUACCCGAUAGCAUAAUGAUUUCGCAUGGUUUCAUUAUUAAAGGAUUCCGGUAAAGGAUGGGGAUGCGUUCCAUUAGGUUGUUGGUGAGGUAACGGCCCACCAAGCCUUCGAUGGAUAGGGGUUCUGAGAGGAAGGUCCCCCACAUUGGAACUGAGACACGGUCCAA
rnacentral:rRNA from 1 species